rnacentral:rRNA from 1 species
UACGAAGGGUGCAAGCGUUACUCGGAAUUACUGGGCGUAAAGCGUGCGUAGGUGGUUUGUUAAGUCUGAUGUGAAAGCCCUGGGCUCAACCUGGGAAUUGCAUUGGAUACUGGCAGGCUAGAGUGCGGUAGAGGGUAGUGGAAUUCCCGGUGUAGCAGUGAAAUGCGUAGAGAUCGGGAGGAACAUCUGUGGCGAAGGCGACUACCUGGACUGAUACUGACACUGAGGUGCGAAAGCGUGGGAGCAAACAGG